rnacentral:rRNA from 1 species
AUUGAACGCUGGCGGCAGGCCUAACACAUGCAAGUCGAACGAGUGGCGGACGGGUGAGUAAUGUCUGGGAAACUGGCUGAUGGAGGGGGAUAACUACUGGAAACUGUAGCUAAUACCGCGUACCAUCAGAUGAGCCCAGGUGGGAUUAGGUAGUUGGUGGGGUAAGGGCCUACCAAGGCGACGAUCCCUAGCUGGUCUGAGAGGAUGACCAGCCACACUGGAACUGAGACACGGCCCAGACUCCUACGGGAGGCAGCAGUGGGGAAUAUUGCACAAUGGGGGCAAGCCUGAUGCAGCCAUGCCGCGUGUAUGAAGAAGGCCUUCGGGUUGUAAAGUACUUUCGGUGGGGAGGCGUUACCCACAGAAGAAGCACCGGCUAACUCCGUGCCAGCAGCCGCGGUAAUAC